rnacentral:lncRNA from 1 species
UAGACUUUUAUAUGUCUUAAUAAAGACUAACUAAUGUUGUUUUUAAUGUUUUAGCAGCGACACUGAUUCCUCAGACUGAACACCAAGUGAGCCAAUGAGAUGAAUGAACUGAGGUGCAAGCAUGUUUAAGAUAAGUAGGACAUAUAUAUAGUUUAUAGUCUGUGUAGUGUCUAAAAUGUGCAUCGUCAGCAUUGCCUUUGCAUCUGUGAGAUACAGGAGAGAGCAGGUGUGUUGUCUGUGCUUUUUAAGUAAGCGGUGCAGCGCUAAUGAUGCCUCCCACCGUCCACAGUGUCUCACGUCUCUGUUUACCUUCUCCUCCGUGUGCUUUGCAGCGGCGUCGGAUGCUGCAGGUCUGUAGUCAGCUCCGCCUCAUCUGCGCCUGCCGCUGCCACACAUCACGUCAGGAAUCUGAUGAACUGUGCCGACCUCAGAUUAACCUCCCGCGACCGCUUUCUUUUUCCGCAAUCCCACACCAUCACCGGAGGGCAAUGCGGAAGAAAGGUGAUGAAAUGAAAAUGAUGAGGAGACACAGGAGAUGAUUUCUUUUUUCUCUUUGUCUGUCCUUUCGCCCCACCCCACCUCCCCGUCUGGAGUUUAGUCCGGCGAUUCACCAGCGGUGUAAUAAUAUGAGCUACUUCAUUAGACGGAAAAGCUCUCUGGUGUCAGCAGAGAUGUUGCCUAAUUGAGAUUCAUUUGAUGAAUCUUGAUCAGGAGCGUGUCAGUUUUUAAGCUGCCACGGGGUUUCUUUCUUUUUUUUUUACUGCUCUGCAAAUGGUCAUCAACCCGCUAUUAAUGAUGACUUCAAAGUAGCUUAACCUGAAUGAAGAUGUUGAUUUAAAACUUCAAAGACGGCACUCAGAUCCCUUUGGCUGGCAGAAAGACGCAGCGAGGACUUCUGAUACUGUGGUGGAUCUUAACGACACAAUAAGCACGCAGCACGUAGAAUAAAGGUCAGCGCUGCUACA